AUGGCGGAACCGAAAAGCCAUAACAGAGUAGGCC
rnacentral:ncRNA from 1 species